AAACUGUCUGUCAGAAACAAUGAGGAGCCUCCCUCCAGGACCUCUAAUUAACGAGAGGGGGAGGGGAGGGGAAGAAGGAGAGGGCGGGGCGGGGGGGGGGGGAAGAGAAUAGAAGAGAGAGAAGAGAAUAGAGAAGAGAGAAGGAUAAUAGCAUACCUCAGAUGCAAAAGUGGCCACUUGGCCACUGUUCUUUAGUGAUCCAGACUCUGGAGAAGUCUGCAUGGACGCCGGGGAGGGGGUGGGGGAUGGGACGAGUAGAUUCGUGAACAGCCUUUCUCUUCUUACGCCCCCCCCCCGCCCCCCGCUUUUGCUUUUUCUCUUACAGUUUGAGUCCAAUUAGGCUUUAUAACUCGUUUUCUGAUUUCCAAAGCAGAUGGGUGACCAGGCAAAGGGCAGAAACAACGUAAAAGAUUUUUGGCUAAAGGUGAAAGACAGCUUCUCCCACUCACCAUAUUUAACUACUAGUGUGUGGGCGACCUGAUCUCUGCAUCUCAAGGAAUUGAGAAUAAAACUAAAACUCGCCAGAUACAGGGGGAUCUUCACAGUAGAUGGUUUUGUGUUUCGCGAAGUCUGGAAGGAAAGGGGGGAGGGGUUUCCUUAAGGACAUUCUGGUAAAAGGUAACAAUCGAAGGCAAAUCUCUUCCCUGCCCUACGCAUAAGAAAAAUUAUCUAAGGGUUUGCUGCUAUCUAAGGGUGACCACUAAAAACAAAACAAAAAAAAGGCGUUUCAAAAUGAGUAAGCUUACUUAUCACCCCAAGAAAUCAGAGUGAAGCAUUGGAAACCUAAACCCUAGGAAAUCCUGCGGUUCAGAUAACGUGACCAGGGCGACAGUCAUAUUGCUUUCAGGCAGCCUGGCUUAACCUCGAGGGAAACCUUUCCUUGGAGUUCAGCUCAAAGAGGCAGACGUCAUGUGCACAGAGCACUUGCAAAUCUGGUGCCACGCUAGCUAAAUUAGCUGAAUCAGCACAUUAUCGUGGAAGGCGGGGUACUUUCUCGCCCUUCUGUGGGACAUUGAUCCCGGAACGCUGCUGAAAGUCUGGCUGCUGCUGAAAGGAUCACCUCUAUCUAAUUACUAUCUUAGGAGCUCAGUUUCUCCAGAGGAGGAAAUGUGUGCCACUUUCCCACCUCAAAGCUGCUGCCGCAAAGCAGUGUGGAAGCACACACACUGGAUCUGGGUGGGACAUUGUUGCUGAAGGAUCUCAGUUUCUGAGUCUUGCUUGGUCCUUGGCUCACCAAGCCCAUCUCUGGUUCACGGUAAAGGCUUGGGGAUUUGCCAUCAUCUUUAGACACAGAUGACCUUUUCAUUUUCUCCUGAGACAGAGUCCCAUAUAGUACAGGUUAGCAUCAAAGUUGCUCUGCAGACGAGGGUGACCUUUGCACUUUGAUUCUUCUGCUUUUGUGCACUACAGGGGUGCACCACCACACGAAGGAGAUCGAACACAGGGACUCAUAUAUGUCAAGUUAAUCAAGCCAGGUAAGUUACUCCUGUAGCCUUUUCUUUCCCAUACCUCCUAAUGCAUUCUCUCUCUCUCUCUCUCUCUCUCUCUCUCUCUCUCAUCUCUUUUCUCUCUUCUCUCUUCUCUCCUCUCUUCUUCCUCUCUCUCUCCUCUCUUCUUCCUCUCUCUCCCUCUUCUCUCUUCUUCCUCUCUCUCUUCUUCCUGUCUCUGUCUCUGUCUCUGUCUCUGUCUCUGUCUCUCUCUCUCUCCCUCUCUCUCUCAGACAGAGUCUCACUAUGUAGCCCUAGCUGAUCUUGGCAUUGAACACAGAGAUUCACCUUCCUCUGCCUCCAGAGUACCGUGGUGAAAGGCUUAUACCAUCACGUUCAGCCCCUCAGAUUCCUAAUUCUAAACCUGCAAAAUGAAUCUUUUAUGGUAGAGUGUUGGUUAGUUUUUGUCACACAUGACACCAGAUAGAGUCACCUGGGAAGAGGGAACUGAAAUUGAGGAAUUGGCUACAACAGAUUGGCAAACCUGUAGGGGCAUUUUCUUGAUUAAUGGUUGAUGUGGGAGGGCCUAGCUCACUGUGGGCAGUUCACUCCCUAGGCAGGUGUUCCUGGAUUGCAUAAGAAAGCAAGCUGAACAAGCUUUGAAAAGCAAGCCAGUAAACACCACUCCUCUAUGGCCUCUGCUUCAGUUCCCACCUCCAUGUUUCUUCUUUGGUUUCUACCCUUCCUUCCCUCGAUAAUGGUGAUACAGUAAGUGCAAACAAAAUAACUUCCUUGCUCCCCCGUAGUUGCUUUUGCUCAGCAUUUUAUCACAAACAGACAUCACACUAGAAUGGAUGUGGGUUUCAGUUUUUCAGAAAGCUGAGUAUGAAGCUUCUGGCACAAUGGUAGUGUGUCUGAGCUUUGAAAGUGAACGAUGACGCUGAGAAACAGUCUAGCUACUAUUUUCUUGUACUCAUAGCAUAACAUCAACACCAGCUUCACUCAUGUCUUUUAAUGUGCCCUUUCUUCUCCCUCUCCCCCCUCCUUUCCUCCCUUCCUCCUUCCCCGAAUCCCUCUCUUCUCCUCCUUUUCUUCUUCACCCAAUAUCUCUGAAUGUCUGCAGUAUGCCGAACUUUUCAUUAGCACAGCCCCUUCUCCGCAACUCAGUUAAUAAAAAUAAAUAUAAAGAUUAAAGCCAGUUGUUAUUAUAACAUUGUAUGAAAGAGCUACACAGAGCCAGGCCGUAGCAGGGCAGGAGGAGCUUUUGGGAGAGGUCAGAGGUGAGUGUUUCAGGGUGUGUGGGAGUAAGCCACACAUGAAGAAAGCAUUAAGAACCCUGCAGACUGAGGACCACAGGAGGAGGGCUGGAAGGAGAAAAGUGAUGAACAGCAAGGGACAGAUUGAGACGAAGCGGUCCUUCUGCUGUGUGCCUCUUUUGGAAGGUUUGACUUCUAUAGGGGUCAAUAACAUGUUUUCAUAGUUAUUGGAUAUUAUGUUUAUUAUGGUGUGGGUAUCCUCGGGAGUAUCAUGUGUGUAGGAAUGUGGGCACACAUAUGCCACAUUGCAUGUGUAGAGGUCACAGGCUGACUUCAGGAGUCAGUUUUCUCCUGCUACUGUGGGUACCAGGAAUUCAGACCAGGACCCCAGGCUAGCCCAGCAGGUGCUUUUCUACACUGAGUAGCCAUUCUGGCCCUUUUCUAGGGAUUUUAACAGCAGAAUGAGAUUUGCAUGUUUUUUGGUUAUGCAGCACAACAUAAAAAGAAAUUUAAUUUCUGUGUGUUUGUUUUCUAACUCAAAGAGUAGAAUCAUGACAUUUGUUUUGGAUGGAAGCUGUCUUGUACCAACAGCAGGAUUUUUUUUUUACUUAAAAAUUUUUAUUAGAUAUUUUCUUUAAUUACAUUUCAAAUGUUAUCCCCUUUCCUAGUUUCUCCUCUGAAAAUCCCCUAUCCCCUCCUCUUUCCCCUGCUCCCCAGCCCACCCACUCCCAUUCCUGGUCCUGGCAUUCCCCUAUACUGGGGCACAGAGCCUUCACAGGACCAAGGGCCUCUCCUCCCAUUGAUGACCGACUAGGUCAUCCUCUGCUACACAUAUAGCUAGAGCCACAAGUUCCACCAUGUAUUUUCUCUGAUUGGUUGUAUAGUUCCAAGGAGCUCUGGGUAUACUGGUUAGUUCAUAUUGAUGUUCCUCCUAUGGGGCUUCAGUUCCCUUCAGCUCCCUGGGAUUUCUCCGGCUCCUUCAUUGGGGACCUUGUGGUCUGUCCAAUGGAUGACUGUGAGCAUCCACUUCUGUAUUUGCCAGGCACUGGCAGAGUCUCACAGGAGACAGCUAUAUCAGGCUACUGUCAACAGAUCUUGUUGACAUCUGCCAUAGUGUCUGGGUUUGGUGGUUGUUUAUGGGGUGGAUCCCCAAGUGGGGCAGUCUCUCUGGAUGGUCAUUCCUUCAGGCUCUGCUCCGAACUUUGUCUCCAACAGCAGAAUUCUUUGUUUGCUUGCUUGCUUUGUUUGUUUGUUUGUUUGUUUGUUUGUUUUUGAGACAGGGUUUCUUCGUGUAGCUCUGACUGUCCUGGAAUUUGCUUUGUAAGGGAGGCUAGCCUGGAACUCACCGAUAUCCACCUGCCUCUGCCUUCUGAAUGCUGGGGGUAAAAGUGUGUGGUGCCACACCCAUCACGGCAGCAGUAUCUUAAUUCUCUUCUUUCUGAGCCUUGUCUGGGGUACCACAGCCAGGCAAUUGUGAAUUUACAUAGAUUCGUGGUCUCCAAUGGCAAAUUUGAAAGUGGGUUACCUUAAAAUAAUCUUGAAAUCUAAAGAUACUGUUUUAUAAAAAGAGAUGAAAGAAAAACGUUUGUCCUUAGUUCUAUUAAAAAUGAAAGUUAUAAUUUGAUUUAGUAUGACAGGGACAGUAGCUAAGA
rnacentral:lncRNA from 1 species